GACGAACGCUGGCGGCGUGCCUAACACAUGCAAGUCGAACGGAGUUAAGACUUCGGUUUUAACUUAGUGGCGAACGGGUGAGUAACGCGUGAGAAACCUGCCUUUCAGUGGGGGACAACAGUUGGAAACGACUGCUAAUACCGCAUAAUGUACACGGACCGCAUGAUCUGUGUACCAAAGCUUUAUGUGCUGAAAGAUGGUCUCGCGUCUGAUUAGCUAGUUGGUGAGAUAACGGCUCACCAAGGCGACGAUCAGUAGCCGGUCUGAGAGGAUGAACGGCCACAUUGGGACUGAGAUACGGCCCAGACUCCUACGGGAGGCAGCAGUGGGGAAUAUUGGGCAAUGGGGGAAACCCUGACCCAGCAACGCCGCGUGAAGGAAGAAGGCCUCGGGUUGUAAACUUCUUUAGUCAGGGACGAAGAACGUGACGGUACCUGCAGAAAAAGCAACGGCUAACUAACGUG
rnacentral:rRNA from 1 species